UACGUAGGGUGCAAGCGUUAAUCGGAAUUACUGGGCGUAAAGCGUGCGCAGGCGGUUGUGCAAGACAGAUGUGAAAUCCCCGGGCUCAACCUGGGAAUUGCAUUUGUGACUGCACGGCUAGAGUGUGUCAGAGGGGGGGUAGAAUUCCACGUGUAGCAGUGAAAUGCGUAGAGAUGUGGAGGAAUACCGAUGGCGAAGGCAAUCCCCUGGGCCUGCACUGACGCUCAUGCACGAAAGCGUGGGGAGCAAACAGG
rnacentral:rRNA from 1 species